ACAGCUCGGGCUCAGGCGGGCAGAGAGACGGUGGCAGAACCUGCGGGCUAGGUGGGAGGCUCACCCUCAGGGAAGAAGGAAGCGAGGACCGCCGCCGCCGGGGAGCGAGGAGACGGCGCUUCGAGGCCAGGGGUCGGGCGGCCGCCACCUCCUCCAGCAGCGGAGAAGGCGCAGCCGGCGGGCGCACCGGCCGCCGCGGCGACGCUGCGCGCAGGGAGGGAGGAGGAGGCGGCGGAGGAGGAGGAGAGCGGCUCAAGGAGACUUGAUUUUCGUGGAUUUGCUGCAAUUCCUUAAAUCAAACCAGGCUUUCGGGGCGUUAAAGUAAAUCGCCGGUGGCGGUGUGGAAGCCUAGCCAGGAGCUUCCAGGGGUGCUUUCCGAAAAAGAAGAGUGAAUCCGCCGGACUAAGCCAGCACGGGAUCUGAAAAACACCCAGAGGUAUGUAGAACAAUUCAUCCCCCUAUCUGGCUUUAUAAUGAUUGCAUUCCCCUCUCUUGACAUUUAUAUAGCCUUUUCUGAAGUGAAAUGCAUUUCGAGGGAUUCUCAAAGGAGAAAACCAGUGGAUUCUAUUUCAGACAAUGUAUUUAAAUAAAAAGGCUGCGUGUCUUUCUA